GAUCCUGGUCAGGAUGAACGCUGGCGGCGUGCUUAACACAUGCAAGUCGGGCGAAGCACUUUACUUGGAUUUCUUCGGAAUGACGAGUAUUGUGACUGAGCGGCGGACGGGUGAGUAACGCGUGGGUAACCUGCCUCAUACAGGGGGAUAACAGUUAGAAAUGACUGCUAAUACCGCAUAAGACCACAGCACCGCAUGGUGCAGAGGUAAAAACUCCG
rnacentral:rRNA from 1 species